AAGACCAAAAGAUGCACGGAAUGAUCGUGGCAGUCGGUAUCGGACUGGCGGUCCUCAUAGCCUUCAUCACGUUCACUCUAUUCACGUCACCGCCACAUCAGCCACGCCAUAAGCCACCACCGGUACCCGCUGUAAGAGAAUACACCGUCAGAGACUACAGCCAGACGCGCGAAGUGCCUGC
rnacentral:lncRNA from 1 species